rnacentral:rRNA from 1 species
AUGGGCGGGGAGGCCCCGGAGCCGCGGCGGCUGAGCCGCGCGCUCAGCCUGGACGGCGGCGGCGUCCCGGAGGAGGCGCUGCACCUGGUGCUCGGCUACGUGGACGACCCGCGCGACCGCGAGGCGGCCUCGCUGGCGUGCCGCCGCUGGCACCACAUCGACGCGCUCACGCGGAAGCACGUCACCGUGCCCUUCUGCUACGCCGUGUCCCCGGCGCGCCUGCUCGCGCGCUUCCCGCGCCUCGAGUCGCUCGGGGUCAAGGGCAAGCCCCGCGCCGCCAUGUACGGCCUCAUCCCCGACGACUGGGGCGCCUACGCCCGGCCCUGGGUCGCCGAGCUCGCCGCCCCGCUCGAGUGCCUCAAGGCGCUCCACCUGCGCCGCAUGGUCGUCACCGACGACGACCUCGCCGCCCUCGUCCGCGCCCGCGGCCACAUGCUGCAGGAGCUCAAGCUCGACAAGUGCUCCGGCUUCUCCACCGACGCCCUCCGCCUCGUCGCCCGCUCCUGCAGAUCACUGAGAACUUUGUUUCUGGAAGAAUGUACAAUUACUGAUAAUGGCACUGAAUGGCUCCAUGACCUUGCUGCCAACAAUCCUGUUCUGGUGACCUUGAACUUCUACUUGACUUACCUCAGAGUGGAGCCAGCUGACCUCGAGCUUCUCGCCAAGAAUUGCAAGUCACUAAUUUCGUUGAAGAUUAGCGACUGCGACGUUUCAGAUUUGAUUGGAUUUUUCCAAAUAGCUACAUGUUUGCAAGAAUUUGCUGGAGCGGAAAUCAGUGAGCAAAAGUAUGGAAAUGUUAAGCUUCCUUCAAAGCUUUGCUCCUUCGGACUUACCUUCAUGGGGACAAAUGAGAUGCACAUAAUCUUUCCUUUUUCUGCUGUACUCAAGAAGCUGGAUUUGCAGUACAGUUUUCUCACCACUGAAGAUCAUUGCCAGCUCAUUGCAAAAUGUCCAAACUUACUAGUCCUUGCGGUGAGGAAUGUGAUUGGGGAUAGAGGACUGGGGGUUGUCGGAGACACAUGCAAGAAGCUACAAAGGCUCAGAGUUGAGCGAGGGGAAGAUGACCCUGGCAUGCAAGAAGAGGAAGGCGGAGUUUCUCAAGUAGGCCUAACAGCCAUAGCCGUAGGUUGCCGUGAGCUGGAAAACAUAGCUGCCUAUGUGUCUGAUAUCACAAAUGGGGCCCUGGAAUCCAUCGGAACGUUCUGCAAAAAUCUCCAUGACUUUCGCCUUGUCCUGCUUGACAAACAAGAGACGAUAACAGAUUUGCCGCUGGACAACGGUGCCCGCGCGCUGCUCAGGGGCUGCACCAAGCUUCGGAGGUUCGCUCUAUACCUGAGACCAGGGGGGCUUUCAGAUGUAGGCCUCGGCUACAUCGGGCAGCACAGUGGAACCAUCCAGUACAUGCUUCUGGGUAACGUCGGGCAGACGGAUGGUGGAUUGAUCAGUUUCGCAGCCGGGUGCCGGAACCUGCGGAAGCUUGAACUGAGGAGCUGUUGCUUCAGCGAGCGGGCUUUGGCCCUCGCCAUACGGCAAAUGCCUUCCCUGAGGUAUGUGUGGGUGCAGGGCUACAGGGCCUCUCAGACCGGCCGCGACCUCAUGCUCAUGGCGCGGCCCUUCUGGAACAUCGAGUUUACGCCUCCCAGCACGGAGACCGCGGGCCGGCUGAUGGAAGAUGGGGAGCCCUGCGUUGAUAGGCAAGCUCAGGUGCUGGCGUACUACUCCCUUUCUGGGAAGAGGUCCGACUACCCGCAGUCUGUUGUUCCUCUGUAUCCUGCGUGA